AGAAAAAAAAAAGAUAAGAAGAAAGAAAGUUGAAGGCAUUCGGCCAUGAAUGGCCAAAUUUGGCCCCAUGGAAAACUUAUCAAAAAAAUUAUUUCUUCUAGUGUUCCAAGCAAUUGGAAGGUCCUCUUUCACAUGGAACGAUUGUUGGAGCAAGAAAACCAUUCAUUCUUGCAAGUUCAUAACCCUAGCCAAGUAAGAAGACAAGUAGAAGAAGAAUAGCAAGUUUGGACAAAUAAGCGUGACUAAUUGGUCGUGGGACAGGGGCUGCGUUUCAUGCCACGCUGGUACACCCAGAUGAGUACAGGACACUGUUAGAAGAUGCUUCAGCUGGAUUGGAAACUCCAUUUGUUCUUGGAGUGUUGCCGAGUCAGAGUAGAUGUGCUGUAAUGUUUGUUCGAGACUAGAGACUUUGCAGAAAGAGUCGUGGGUGUAGGAUGUCAGUUUUGUAAGCGGCUCCAUCAGCCGAUGUGUCUUUAUGUAUUAUGUUAUGGAUUCCAUAAGACUACAAAACUGGCCUGAUUCGAGAAAGAUAAAAGAAAGA